rnacentral:rRNA from 1 species
UACGUAGGCAGCGAGCGUUGUUCGGAAUUACUGGGCGUAAAGAGUGUGUAGGCGGUGCUCUAAGUUCGGUGUGAAAUCUCCUGGCUUAACUGGGAGGGUGCGCCGGAAACUGGAGUGCUCGAGCGUGGGAGAGGAAAGCGGAAUUCCUGGUGUAGCGGUGAAAUGCGUAGAUAUCAGGAGGAACACCUGUGGUGUAGACGGCUCUCUGGACCAUAGCUGACGCUGAGACACGAAAGCGUGGGUAGCAAACAGG